rnacentral:rRNA from 1 species
GAUGAACGCUGGCGGCGUGCCUAGUACAUGCAAGUCGAGCGAACAGAUAAGGAGCUUGCUCCUUUGACGUUAGCGGCGGACGGGUGAGUAACACGUGGGUAACCUACCUAUAAGACUGGAAUAACUCCGGGAAACCGGGGCUAAUGCCGGAUAACAUUUAGAACCGCAUGGUUCUAAAGUGAAAGAUGGUUUUGCUAUCACUUAUAGACGGACCCGCGCCGUAUUAGCUAGUUGGUAAGGUAACGGCUUACCAAGGCAACGAUACGUAGCCGACCUGAGAGGGUGAUCGGCCACACUGGAACUGAGACACGGUCCAGACUCCUACGGGAGGCAGCAGUAGGGAAUCUUCCGCAAUGGGCGAAAGCCUGACGGAGCAACGCCGCGUGAGUGAUGAAGGUCUUCGGAUCGUAAAACUCUGUUAUUAGGGAAGAACAAAUGUGUAAGUAACUGUGCACGUCUUGACGGUACCUAAUCAGAAAGCCACGGCUAACUACGUG